UCCUGAUGUAGAACUAUCUGCUCCCUUUUCUACACCACGUCUGCCUGUGUGUCACCGUGCUUCCCAACAUGAUGAUAAUGGACUAAACCUCUGAACCCAUAAGCCGGCCCCAAAUUAUGCUUUCUUUUAUGAGUUGUUGUGGUCAUGGAGUCUCUUCACCGAAGGAGGAACCCUGAUUGAGACAAAAGGAUACUAGAAAAGGGCACUGGAAGGCCACAGAAGGCUGAGAGCAUUCACCUCAGAGGAUGAAAGCAGACUGUCAGCGGGCAGAGAUCAGGAACCAGCAACCUUACUUAAGCAGCUUCUUACGUUCUCUCAAGUUCUGUUUCCUUGGGGAAUAGACAUCACAUCACCCAGGUAACCUAUGGGAUAGGAUACAAGGACUGGCAAAAUCAAUGCACUGCUCUUCAACAGAGUGUAAGACAGUUUCAAAGGCCCGUGGUUUUUAGUUUUUACGCAAUGAAAUGCCUGCCUCAGCAGACAGCUGCCCAGCAUUCGGUCUUAACAGAGAACAACUCUGAGGACCAAUCGGUGACUAGUUCCAAGGGAGAAGUUCCACCACAUUCUGUAGUGGGCAACACCUCUGAGCAAAGGUAGGAGGUGUCAGGUAAGACAAAGCAAAUGAUAAAGAAAGAAGUGGAGAGCAGCAAAGGACAACAGGCAUGAAUACAGAGUCCAGCCUGUAGACAAAAGCAUGAAUGGAAGAGUACAGAGGCCAGGCUGUAGACAAAGAUGCAGCAACCACACAGGACACUACAGAAAAGAGUUGUCUCCAGCGCGAGCUUCUGCCCUUCCCAAGAGGGAAGCUGACUCCGGCACCUUGGGACAUGGACGUCUCAGCCCAACAGAACGAAACAUAUAAACUACAAACCAACACAGCCUCCCCGCACACCGCACACCACAUCUUGCAGAGAAAGGAGGUGGCCCGAGUGCUUUAAGUGCCUCACAACGUCCACAUUGUGCUGGUGGAGUUACUUUUAAUGAAGUUGUUAUUAUGCCACAAGAAUGCAAUAAAACAUCUGAAACCUGAAAUUUCCUAUUUUUUAUCAUCUCCUGUGUAAAAAAAAAAAAAAUCUCCAAAAAAAAAAAAAAAAAAGGAAAAAAAGGUUUGUUUUCAAACGUAGUAUACGGGAGUAACUGGAUAGAGAGGUUCCAAGCCAACUUUCCGCUUGCAAAGAAAUCUAAAGAGUACUGCUUCCUAAGCCACCAAAAAUGUGAGGGAAGGGUGAAAUAUUAUGGAAUAUUUCACAUUAUUAAAAUAAUCAGACAUAACAUGCCUCAGAAGGAGCCACUGGUUUACGGUCUCCCGGUGUAGGUCAGCACAGAAGCCUUUUUUAUAUAAUAAAGUAUUCACAAUCAAUCAGGUUUCACUUGAGUAGUGCAGUACUUCUGGAUAGAGAAGAUGUCUAUGUGGAAUUCCAAAGAUGAGCCCUGGGUGUGAGGGGCCGAUUCUAUACUAUACUGGUCAGUGCAGAAGCAUAACGCUAUUCUGACUGAUUCACAAAGACAGUCUACAGGGGACUUCAGUUUUUUCUUUCCAAGACAAUUCUUAGCUGACCCUUGCAGUAAACUGGUGAAACCACCACGUAAAAAUACAAAACCAUGAGGGUUGAGUAAAUGUGCUUUGGCACACAGAGUCUGUAUGCAGUGAUAUUUGCCAUAAAGGCUUCUGCAAGACAACCAGAUCUUUACCAUGCCCUUAAAGCCGCCGCCGUACUAUACAGUAACUAACACCCGUGCUAUGUUCUCGGAUUCAAUUUUCAACUCUCACGUUUCUUCAAAACAUCCUUAAACUUGGGGACAGCUGCACUCCAAAUCCACUUCUUCAUUCUGCGGAUGUCUUUUCCAGAACAUUCAUUUCAAUCAGAGGAUCCAGUGCAAACUUUCCCAUGAGCAGCUUCCAGCAUGAGUGCCCGCCAUCGGCUCUGCCAGCAGACAGUGUUUUCUGUAUAAGAGAUCACAGCUGACCCAUCCCCUAGACUAGACUUACAAUCUUUCCAAAGAUGUCAUCAGUCUCCUCUUUCGUUCCAAAUGGAUGAAACCAUAGACGGACUGCUAACCAGAGCAGUUUCAGCCACAGAGAUCUAAGCUAACAUUCUCCAUAUGACCGAAUUGAGCAUGAAGAAAAGGAAUGCGUCAGUGAGGUACCAAUGCUGGGCCGUGUGUGUUCAUAAGAAUGAGAGGAGGUUUCAGUCCGCGUGC